AUUAAAAGUCCGCCUGUACAUUCUUAUCUCAGCUCCACCGCUCAGCAUAAUCGCAGUUAUAUUCGUACAGUACUUUCGCAAAAACUUCCACAAAUGGCUGCUUCUCUCUAUACUCUCUCAAUCGCCGUCACUCUCAGGUCAUACUCUCUCUCGCUCCCUCUCCCUCUCUCUCUCUCCCCUAUUUAUAUGCAGAUGAAGCAACUUUCUAUUUUGGUAGUUGUAAAAUAAUUUUGAAGUAAAUUUCUUGUUCUAUAUCGAUCUACAGACUACUGCUUGUUGCUCAAUCCUUGGUUCUUUUGGGUUUCAAUUUAUCCUUUUAAUUUAUUUAUGGGACCGUAAAACUGAUGUUGCAUAACCUGAGUUUUUCUUUCCUGAUAUUCCAGAGUUGUUUCUCACUUUUGGUAUUUGUCAUUGUUGUUGAAUAUUUUUCAGGAUGAAUCUAGUGCAUCCAAAAAAUCACUUGUACCUCCCCCAGUUACGGAAAGGAGUUGUGCGUUUCCGUGCUCGUACGAGUAUUACAUGGCAAAAAUGCAAUUUAAAGCUCAACAUGGUGCCUGGUGGACUAUUUUCUGGUUGUUGUGAUUCGAGAACCUUAGCAACUGCUAACUCACUAGAAAUUGAUGGUGAAAACCGGGCAAAUGGGUUCAGGUUUCUGAUUGAUUUUGUUUUUACAUUUAUUAUACAUUGUUUUAUCACUUAUGAAUUCAGUUUUUACUCUUUCUUUCCAUUUAAUUUGUUAUGAAUCUAAACUUUAUUUUUAGGAAAUGUAUUUUAGCUAUUGUUUAUUUAACUAGAAUUUUAUUUUAUCUAUGGAUUUAGUUGGAUUUAAUCAACAUAGUUGUGGAGUCAUUGUUUAGGCAUUAUAGGUGUUAAAUGGAUUUGUGACUAUUAUCUAGAAAUUAGUAAGCGCUUUAAGGUAUCUUCUAUUUCUUUUUAAUGAGGGAAGAAAUUAUUUGGCAUUUCUAUGCUUUUCGAGGUAAGUUCCUCGGAAACUCAAUUUGGAGGUCAAGGAUUCCUCGAAUGAGCCUACCAUAAUCGUUCGUUUCAUUAUUUCUAUACGAGCAAUUUGUGUUCAUACAUAAAUUCUUACAAUGUAUAUGAAAUAUUUGGUGUAACUGUGUAAGUAAGUUAAGCAUCCUUCAUUUCUGUCCUUGAAAUAAUAUUUGAUUUAAAUAAAUUUUUAUAAAAUUAUCUUUCAUGCGAAAACAUGGAAUGAUAACAUGCAUGUGAUGUCCCAAGCAACACUAUUCUCACCAUCAAUGCCCAUUUAUACUGUCUCUAUCACUGCCAAGUACUCCCACAUUCGGCCAUAUAAGGUUCUGUUACCAUCAUUGACCUUCCUCAUCAUCACAGUAAAGUAGCAGGUUUUACAACAAUAAUGGACUGCCCACAGUCAGUACCACUCAUCGAACAACCAUCUAGCCUAUAAUUUACUGAAAAGUUUAUUUGUUUUGUAGUAAUUUGUUUUGAGAAGUUUCAUUAAACAAACCAAACACCAAAUUAUGACAAGAGAACAAGCUUUUUUUUUUUUUUGGCCUGUGCUCGGUGAAACAUUUUAUAUGAACCAAAUCAUUGCAUUUGAGAUGAAGACAUCACUCUAAAAGUUUAUUAUGCCCUCAUUUGACCCCAUUUUUUAGAAAUGAAAAUGAGUGGAAUAGUAUUUUUUUAAAAAAUGGGUGGUUGAAAAAGAAGGAAAAGUUUUCGAUUUAUUUAUUUAUAAUAUAUUAUGGAAGAUUGUGUGGUUGAAUAUAGGAGAGAGAAAAAUAGAAUGUAAUGGAAUAGAAUUUAAUGGGGGCCAAAUAGGGGCUAUAUUGGAGAUUCCAUGCCUUAAUUUAACUAUAAUUUGCUUUAUUAACAGGUCUAGAUAUUUGAAUGAGAACUCAGUGAACUUCCAAAACAGCAUGAAUGAUCUUGAAAGCCAAUUGCAGGAGUUGUUUAAUGAAGUAAAAACUAUGAUUCAAUUGGGAAAGGAAAAUGAUGCAGUUGAUUUACUUGAGGCGAAUUAUGAAGCUGUUAAAGAACAAAUGGCUUCAGGUGCUACAGACAUAGAAGAAGCUGCUAUUCUUGAUGUAAUAGCCUUGGGGUACAUGGUUCUUGGAGACUUGCAGACUGUUGGGUCAAUAUUAGACGUGGUAAUAUAUCUUGCAACAUAUCUAGGUACAAUAUUUCUGCAUUCUUUAUAUAAAAUUUUCAAUUAUAUGAAGCCAGGUUUAAUCCAUAAACAUAUUUCCUUGAAUGCGGUUACUCAAAAAAAUGAGAGAGAGAGAGAGAGAGAGAGAGAGAAGUUUCAUCUGGAUUUUAAUUGAUAAAGUGAGCUUCUUCAUAUUCAACUAGUCUAUUUUUUUUUUUGAUAGAAAACAUUUCUGUUCAUGCAACUUGGAGAUUUGUGUAAACUGAAGAUGAGAUUUUUUAUUUUUAAGUAAAAUUUUUAUGGUUAUCUCUGCUUCCCUUUGUUCUGUGAUGGAAUUCUUUUUAAGCAACCUUGCCAUCUUAUUCUGGAUUAUAAUACUUUCUUUAGUUUUGUACUUUUUGACAAUAUUUGUCCUGAGGAUCUAUUAAAUGUGAAUCCAGUUGAACAAGAUUGUAAAUAGGUUAAAGGAUCAGGAACCUCUUCUGGAUUCGAUACUCAUGCAUAUGGGAAGCAUGUAUGACAAGCUGGAAAAGUUUGAGCUGUCCAUUGGUUUCUACCAGAGAUCCCUUCAAAUUAUGGAAAGAACAUAUGGUAGGUUCAACUUUGAUAUUUUAUUCACGUUAAUUCUACUAAUUAAUGGGGGUUUCUUCUUCUGUCAUGGUUGCUUUAUUGUUUGUGUUUGUUGAGGGUGAGGGUGGUGCUUACUUUUAAAUAGGAUGUAGGAUAUUCUUCCAUUUUGUCAUCCAGUUUUGGGUUUUCUGGAUACAAUGGAACAGGUUUCAGUAUUUUGGUUAGAUGGCUAAUCAAAUAACCAUUCAUAUAAAUUCUAUCAAAUAACCGUUCAUAUAAACUCUCUUAACCAAUUUGUUUAAAACAGCCACCAUACCAAAUCUAUGUUUUCUACUGUCAUGUAGGAAACAACAGCUCAUUUCUUACCAUGCUGUUGCUGGGGAUGGCUAAAGUGCUUGGUUCUAUGGGAAGAGCUAGUGAGGCAAUGGAAACAUACCAGCGUGUGAUUACGCUAUUGGAAUCUAGUAGGGGUGGGGAAAAUGAGGAAUUGGCAGUGCCAUUAUUGGCACUGGGCAAUCUUUUAAUGAAGGAAGGAAGAGCACCAGAUGCUGAAAGCCCUUUCGAUAGGUUAAUACUUUUUAUCCUGUAUAGUAUUUGGUUAUUAUGGAUUCUUUGCUUGCUGAUCAUUACCUUUUACAUUCUUACCUUUUGCCUGCAUUAUCCAGAAUCCUAAGCAUUUAUGUGAAUACAUAUGGAGAAAAAGAUGGAAGAGUUGGAUUGGCUAUGUGCUCCCUGGCACAGGUGAAAUGUGCAAAAGGUGAAUUUCUAUGUUACAUUCUUUACACACACACAAACACACACACAUUUCUCUCGAUUCAAAUUUUCAUUUGACGAUUAUAGGUUAGUUGCGUAUUUUGUUGGUAUUUUGUACUGAUCUGGGAACAUGAAAAUAAAAAUUGUCUCUUGUCUGACAUAAAUAAUAUCAAUUUUUCCUGUUUUUGUUCUUUUUGGAGGAUAACUUUGGAGUUACCAUGUCAGAUGAUGGUUUCACUAUGUAUAAUAAUGUAAAUAGAAGAGUAAGUGGCAAAUUUAGGUUCAAUUCAUUGAAUUGUGGCAUAGGAAUUCAUUUUUGAUACCCGAAAGAAAAGGAGAAAAAAGAUGUAUGAUGAACGCCCUAUUUAUUUGCUUCUUUAUUCUUUAAUGUUUUCCCCUUUGGACAGGCCAAAAGAGAGAAUCCAUUAAAAACUAUAAAGCACCCAAGCUAUUGUAGAAUAGUGUAGGCUACAAGAAGUUUCAUACGUGAAAUCUUAGCGUCAUCAUCUUGGCCUCCUUCCUAAUAAUGUCCACCUAAAGUCUUCUACAUUACCGUGUUUUGAUCCUGUGCGGCCUUCUGUAGGAGAAGUGAAUGAAGCCAUUGAUCUAUACAAGAAGGCCAUUCAAAUCCUUGAGGAUUCAAAAUACAUGGAAUUGGAUGACAUUGUAAUGGAACAGAUGAGAGUAGACUUGGCUGAAUUACUUCAUGUAACUGGAAGGUAAGAAAUAUCCCAACUGUUGGGUGUCUCUCAUUGUCUCCUCAUUAUAAUUUUUUAAUAGAUUUCCCUGAGCAUUUUGUGCACUGAGUUUUUUAAGUGUAUAAAUUGUAGGAAGAUGUCUUAAAACCAUUUAGAGUGAGCACUUAAGUUUGUUAUGUCAGAAUGUAGAGGCUAUUAAGAGUAUGAUAUUGGUUGUUGAAUUAGUAUACAUUAAGAUUGUGUUUGAGCCAUCCACCCCAUUUUUUUUUUUUUUUUUGUAAAAAAUGUGUUUUGUGAUAGUAUUUUUUGAGAUGUGGUUAAAUUUAUUUGUUUGUUUAUUUAUUUAUUUAUGAUAAAAAAAUGUGUUUUGUGAUAGUAUUUUUUGCGAUGUGGUUAAAAAGUAGGCAACAGCUGGUGUUGGUCACACAGUAUUACAGUCUUCUUUAAUUUUGUUUAUUUUAUUUUUAUGAAACCUAGUCCUUUUAAUUCUAUUUUUGAUAAAACACAGAGGAGAAGAAGGCCGAGCCAUUCUGGAGAAAUGCUUGUUAAUAAAUGAGAAGUAUAAAGGAAAAGAACAUCCCAGCUCAGUACCACUUCUUGUAAAUCUUGCAACUUCCUAUUCACGCUACAAGAAUUUUGUAGAAGCUGAGCGCUUGCUGAGCAUAAGUUUGCAAAUUAUGAUGAAGACUGUGCCCCCCGAUGAUCAGUCCCUCACAUUCCCGAUGUUACAUCUUGCCAUCACUCUGUACAAUCUAAAUCGAGAUGAAGAAGCUGAAAAACUUGCUCUCGAUGUUCUGCACAUUCGUGAGAAGGCAUUUGGAAGAGAAUCUCUACCAACUGGUAAUUUUCUUGUUGUGCAGUUGCUUGCUGUAUGCUGGAUUACAUAUCAUGUUUGCUAAGCUUAAAUGUUACUUUUCUAGAAAGUGACCUACUUUCUAGAAAAGUUUUGUUAGCAUAAAAAUCAACUUGUAAAUUAUGUUUGGCAAGAAAGAAGCUUAAAAAGUAACUCUUACUUCUUUUUAAGCUUAGCCAAACACGCUCAUACCUCCUAUAUGCGACAUUGAGAGAUGAUUUUAUCAUGUGAAUUCUUUUGAAAGUUUGACAUUUUGAUCCAUCAGAAAUUUGACUAGAGGUUGGUACAUUCAACGCACUUUCAGCAGUUGCCUUGAGAUCUAAUUCUGUUAACUCAGAGUCAUUAUAUAGUGGCUUAGUUUCUUAUUUAAACUAUGCUUCUGUGCAUUCCUUGUCCAUAUUGUUUUCACGCUUUUGUUUCGUGAAUUUGUGAAACAGGAGAGGCUCUUGACUGUUUGGUCUCUAUUCAGUCACGAUCAGGGAAGGACGACAGUGAGUUGUUGGAGCUGCUCAAGAGGGUUCUGAGAAUUCAGGAGAAAGCUUUUGGCCACGAGGGUGAGGAGGUCAUGGAAACCCUCAAGAAAAUUGUACAUUACAUGGACAAAAUGGGUAUGAAUAACGAGAAACGUCCAUUGCAAAGAAGAUUAUCCAUUUUGAGAAACAAACACAAGAAAAUGGUUAGGUAUUGACAACAGUGGCUUAUUGAGUUGGAUAUUUCUUGUUUUCUUGCAAUGGAGCGAAUCCUAGAUCCUUGGCUGUUUUGAUGUCACGAACAAUGAUGAAAAGUUUUAUGGCAAGAGUAAGCAGCCAGUAUUCAGCAUUUUUGAUAAUGAACAUUGAGGUACUUGGCAACUCAAAUCAUGCAUCUUUUGAUAGUUUAUAGCAUGCUUAAUUUUCUUGAUAUUCUUCAUGUUCUUAGUUAAUCGAUAAAAUCUUGCCUGUUUUACCUUGUCCUUAAAAGGAGAUGCCUUAUUGACUUUUGGGAAUUAUUCGUGAUUUUAGUCAAAGAAACGUUUUCACAUUCAUUUUAAGAAAAUUACAUUAGAAAAACAAUUUGAAGAAAAUUCUACCAUCUUGGUUGUAGGCUUGUAACGACCUUGCCAUAACCUUUGUUCAGACCGUGGACAUAAUAAAUGCUUAUAUACAUACAUAAAUAUAUAUAUAUAUAUACGGUCUAGAUCAUUUAGAUCACCAUAUCCGCAUCCAAACACACCCCAAUAAAGGUAUUAAUAGAUCUACACCAGUGGAUUAGCUUAAAGGGUUGUGAUUAUUUGUCAAAUUCAUUGGUAUAUAUAUGUGCGUGUGCGCGCGUGACUCACUUCUCUUCUUAUUUUGACCGGUUCUUAAGGAGUAUCGAAGCACUAGUCACUAGAUGUGCAUUUCACUCAUUUCUUCUUUGCUUUAUCAAUAUUUUGUGACAGGAAUGGAACUCAUAAAAGUUGCUUGUUCAAUAUCAAUGAUGAGAAUAAACAGCUUGAAGUAUAACUGAACAGCUUGCGAAAUGUGCGUCUCCACUUCAGGUAUAUGUAACAAUUGAUCAAGGCGAUCUCCAUCAGCAAGCAAAUAUUUAGCUGGACCUGAAAAUUCCAGUUUUGUCCACAUACUUGUCGAAUUAACUCCUGGUAUCCUCUGCCCCAUAAGCAUCAAAUGCUACUGCCCAUGUCAAAGGAAUCAUCUUUGAUGAUGUGAACUUCAGUGCUAUCUAUCUUUGACAGCCCAGGAGGUAUUCCCAAGUAAUUCGCUUUUAGGGACGAAUGUGUAGUUGUUUAUUAAGCGUUUUGAUGUUAUCUUUGACAUGAUGUCUGUUUUCGUGAAGCGUUUUGAUGUUAUCAACUUGCAAUAUAAGUAUGUUGGGGAUUGUUUAUUUUGAAGUAUUUUGAAUAUAAUGUGCAAUUAAUUUUAACUCCUUUCUUUGUACUUGUAAGGGUAGAAAGUAAGUAUUUUGAAUACUUGGCUUAAACAGUUGAAGAGUGUUUACAACCAGUUUUCCUUAUUCGUCAUCUUUUGUUUCAUGCAAUUGUUGUGAAAUACUCGCUUCAUUUUCUAUCUUAUUUUGGGUUAUACACAGAUACACUUGAAUGUUCAAAGAUAAUUGGACUAUAUUGAAGGGCUUGAGAGCCAGCUAUGUCUAGUUAUCCUCGAUAUUUUUUCGAGGGGUGGGG
rnacentral:lncRNA from 1 species